GUUUGCACUCAUCGAGGAAGGGUGAGAACCUUCGACUAAGGUUCGAUUCGAGCGAAAGCGAGAGAACGUUGCCACAGGCAACGGCCCGAAGGGUGAGGAGCGAAGCGACGAAUAAUCCUUCCCCCACCACCA
rnacentral:sRNA from 1 species